AGAGCGAACGCUGGCGGCAGGCCUAACACGUGCAAGUCGAGCGCCCCGCAAGGGGAGCGGCAGACGGGAGAGUAACACGUGGGAACGUACCCUUCAGUUCGGAACAACCCAGGGAAACUUGGGCUAAUACCGGAUACGUCCGUAAGGAGAAAGAUUUAUCGCUGAAGGAUCGGCCCGCGUCUGAUUAGCUUGUUGGUGAGGUAACGGCUCACCAAGGCUACGAUCAGUAGCUGGUCUGAGAGGAUGAUCAGCCUCACUGGGACUGAGACACGGCCCAGACUCCUACGGGAGGCAGCAGUGGGGAAUAUUGGACAAUGGGCGCAAGCCUGAUCCAGCCAUGCCGCGUGGGUGAUGAAGGCCCUAGGGUUGUAAAGCCCUUUCGGCGGGGAAGAUAAUGACGGUACCGCAGAAGAAGCCCCGGCUAACUUCGCGCCAGCAGCCGC
rnacentral:rRNA from 1 species